GGGACACAGGGGGGGGACGAUCGUGUUUUAGUCAUCAAUCAAAACGAUCUCCGGCUUUCGGUUGUCGCAAGAGCCGCCGCUUGUUUGUGCAAUCGAUAUCUCGUACAGUUGGUUUUGUGUUACACAUAGCCUUGUUUUAGCAGAAGUGCGGGAUGAUGUAGGCGUGCAAUGCUUUCGAAACAUGUCGAUGCUGGGUGGUGUAGAGCCUUAACACGGGGAGAGGGCUGCAGGUGCUGCCCAACACAAGCUGUACAAUUGGGCGGGGAGCAAAAGCAAAAGCAACAAUUAAUUCCUAACAACAUUAACGGAGCAAACAGAAAAAAAAACAAAACUAUUUGUGAUGAUUUGUGUCCCUUUAAUCACACAGAGAGAGAGAGAAACACACAUACACACACAAACUGAACCAAUAAUGUGCAAUUUCUAAGCGAAUACAUUCCAAAUGUGUGUAACUGUGCCACCUCGUGUGAGCUGUGUGUUGUGAUGUGCGGUGUGAUGUCAAAAUGCAAGCAUCAAACAACAUAACGCCCGCCGAGGGGAGAAAAAAGAAUAAUUUAUGUGAAUAAUGUGGGCACACAUAAAAUGGUGGGCAGAGCAGAGAGACUCUACAGCAAAGCAAACCAACUGAACUGGACAUUCCUGAUGUAAUGAAAAAAAAAAAAAAGAAAAGUGAACACACACACACACAAAAAAGCUAAAGCAAAUGUAAACUAAUGACUGUUCCACGUGGUGUGAAAUAUGAUGAGUGGGGUGAAGAAAGCGAGCCGGUGGUGUGACCCGUCCCCUGUAAAAAGGGUGCGAGCUGAAUAGCGCGAGAAAUUUAUAUUUAUUGAUUGUCGUCGUAAUGUGUCGGAAUACGUCCGGCCGGAAAAAAGGGGACCACCGGCCCCGACCACAAAAGCGUGUCGUCACUCACUCUGUUUGCUGUUUUGUAAAACUGGAAAAGGGGCGGCUCCCACGAGCCCGCAAGCACAAAUCAACUGAAAGAGGUAAAACACAAAAAUCACUAACUAUAAAAAGCAAAAAACAGUAAAACAAACAAAACUUUAGCAUUAAAUGAAAACCAAUACAAGUAAGUAUGGGAAAAGGAAGCUAAACAAACACAAAAAGCAAGCAAGCAACCGGUCUGUCUGUAUCUCCUAAAGUUUGUAGAGCGUGUAGUAUGUAGCGUAGCUAAAAACAAAUCGUGUACGCAUCGUAGCAGAAGGGACGCAGUGUAGUAGUGUGGUCUUGGCGCAGGCAAAGGCGCAUUGGUGCGCGAACACAAAGUGCAAAUAGAUGGGAUCGUUGGAGGUUGGAGAGGAAAAACAAACACGGCAGGGCAAAAUAGGGCAAAAGGGAGCAAUGAUAAAACUGCGCCACACAAGCGUUGUGCUGUUUGUUUGGAUGAAAAACGCAACACACGAACAAGUUAAGAAAGAAAGAAAGUUAAGAAAACAGAAGAAGAAAGAAGUGGAUCAAAAAAAGAGGGUGAAAAAAGGAAAGAUGCAAGCGUCAAAACAUUCGAAUGUAAGUGAUUAGGUUUAGCCUACAUAUAUACACACACACACUCCCUCCCCCCCCCUACACACAUACAAAUUGCAUACUGAAUAGGCUCGCCUAGUUGGCUAAAUAGUAUUUUUUCCAUAUAGAUGAACCCCUCUACUGCGUUUACUACUUUGACUACAGCUACAAGCGGAAGCGAAAGGACAAGGAGCAAGAGAAAAUAGUAGAAGAAGAAGAAGAUGAAGAGGAAGAUACAAAAGACAGCCCCACAAAAUGAUGGAUUAAUGGUUAAAUUAGUUUUCCCCUCCACGCCGCCACCCCCCCGGCAACCAUCAAGCAGUGGACAAUAGAGAGAGAGAAAAGGGAGAGAACACCUAAUAACUAAUAGCAAAAAACAAACAAACAAGCAAAUAGCGCCUCUUCACCCGCAAAAGAAAGCAACAACAGGACAGAAAGAGAGAACAAAAAGCUCCCCCUUACAAAUCAAACCACAAAAAACAGUUGAACAAGUUUAUCAUUAAAAGACUGCUGUGAUUUUAACGUAAUAAUGAAUAAAAGAAAAAUAGAAAAGCCA